rnacentral:tRNA from 1 species
GGAGAAUUGUCCGAGCGGCUGAAGGAGCACGAUUGGAAAUCGUGUAGGCGUGAUGAGCGUCUCGAGGGUUCAAAUCCCUCAUUCUCCGCCA